UACAGAGGGGGCAAGCGUUAUUCGGAAUUAUUGGGCGUAAAGGGCGCAUAGGCGGCCUGGCAAGUGGAAGGUGAAAUCCCUCGGCUUAACCGAGGAACUGCCCUCCAAACUGCUUGGCUUGAGUCCGGGAGAGGUGAGUGGAAUUUCCAGUGUAGCGGUGAAAUGCGUAGAUAUUGGGAGGAACACCAGUGGCGAAGGCGGCUCACUGGACCGGAACUGACGCUCAUGCACGACAGCGUGGGGAUCAAACAGG
rnacentral:rRNA from 1 species